AUGGAGCCUAUCUUUUAUGAGUCUCUUAAAAAAAAAAAAAACGAAAUUUGUUUCUGUGGCUACAGCAUUCCCGGAGUGCCAGCAACUGUUGCCCAAGGCUCCAGGACGUGCUGAGCCCCUGCCCGAAGGUCUGUUCUAGCUGCUGGUGACAGGCCAGGUGCCCACAGAGGAACAGGUGAACUGGCUGUCCAAGGAGUGGGCCAAGCGUGCAGCUCUUCCCUCCCAUGUGGUCACCAUGCUGGAUAACUUCCCCACCAACCUCCACCCCAUGUCUCAGUUCAGCGCCGCCAUCACAGCUCUGAACAGCGAGAGCAGCUUCGCCCAGGCCUACUCUGAGGGAGUCAACAAAGCCAAGUACUGGUGGGAGUUUGUCUAUGAAGACUCCAUGGAUCUUAUCGCUAAGCUGCCUUGCAUGGAGGCCAAUAUUUACCGCAACCUUUACCACGAGGGAAGCAGCAUCGUACCUCACCAUUCACAGGUCAGUUUUAUAGAGAAUGCUACUUCAUUCAUAAUUUAUGUGGUUGCAUUACUCAUUCAUUCACACACACUUCCCUUUCUCCUUUGCUACAGUGACCAUGAUGAUGGUAACGUGAGUGCCCACACCAGCCACUUGGUGGGCAGUGCCCUGUCUGACCCCUACCUCUCCUUCAGGGCAGCUAUGAACGGUCUGGCUGGACCCCUUCAUGGAUUGGCUAACCAGGUGCUGGUGUGGCUGACAGCACUGCAGAAGGAGAUGGGAGGAGAAGUGUCUGACGAGGCCAUGAGAGACUACAUCUGGAACACCCUCAAGUCUGGAAGGGUGGUUCCAGGCUAUGGCCACGCUGUCCUGAGGAAGACAGACCCCAGGUACACCUGCCAGCAGGAGUUUGCCUUCAAGCACUUGCCCGACGACCCCAUGUUCAAGCUGGUGCACACACUCUACAAGAUCGUGCCCAAUGUGCUGCUGGAGCAGGGCAAGGCCAAGAACCCCUGGCCCAACGUGGACGCCCACAGUGGAGUGCUUCUGCAGGUUUUUUAGGAGUACUACGCAUGACAGAGAUGAACUACUACACGGUGCUGUUCGGCGUGUCCCGAGCACUGGGGGUGCUGGCCCAGCUGAUUUGGAGCCGAGCCCUGGGCUUCCCCUGGAGCGCCCCAAGUCCAUGAGCACAAACAGACUCAUGACCCUGGUGGGAGCCAACAAUUCCGGGUAAAGAUGAAGUAUCAAAGGAAGAGGGGAGGAAGGCAAAGAAGAACAAAAGGGGGAGGUAGAGGGUAGGGGGAUGCAUAAGAUGCAGUACACUUAUAAAAAGAAGGGCCUUUGCUGGAUUUAGUCGGUUCAUGUCAGUGACACUAAUGUUGGGCGUACACCACACGACUUUCAAAUAUCGCUGAGCCUCUCACAUUAAUACCACUGUCUUUCCUGUAGUUUUCUGUCUUGCCAACGUAGUGAUACUCACGACACUAAAUGAUGUCACACACUACAAGAUUCUUCAUUUGGUCGUAAGGAUUCUCGAUACCAUGCUGUCUCUCAAAAAGAAUGUGAUGUGAUUGUGCAGCUAGAACGAGCUGUGGGCCAAAGAGCCUCAAAACAUUUUGUUAGACAUUCACGCUUGCCAUAGAGUUGAAAUAUUUAACCAAUACAUUUUGAAUUAAAUAACAUUGUGAACUUCAGAGCUGUACUGAUUUGACACUAGCUUUGGUUAAAGGGAAGUACAAACGUAGGCUAGUAGUCAUCACUCCUGUUCGAGAGUCAGUACACACAUUCAUACAACGCCAUCAUCUCACUGGCUUCUCUGGUGAGCUGUUGGCUGUUGCUGAUCACAGUUUUGAUCACUCAAAAUGUUUCGUUGCAGAUCUCACACUACAGGAGCAUAGCAGAGUUUGUGCUGAUAAAAUCAAACGUUUGAAAAUAUCAGGAUGACUCAGACAGGAUCGGUAGCCCUCAGAUUGCGUCUCUGGCCCGCUCACAUUAUACGAGCGUCAGUAACGGCCGUGCGCCCUGACUAAGCAACGACUUGGGAAUUUUGUCUCCGAUCUCAAACUUGUCUGGGACAGGUAAAUCGGGCCAAAAUCAUGUAGUGUACUUAUGGUUUAUGGUAAUAUUUUUUUUAUUUUGUGAGACUGAGCCAUGCUAGUUGAGUCUUAUAUAUUUAAGCUGACCUGGUUUUGUAAAGAACUCAAAAUAUCAUGUCAAUUUUUCAGUUGGAGAAUCUGGGGCACUUGCAUUGUCAGACGGAAUUUUCCAAAAUAACGAAACAAAAGACAACAAUCCAUGGCAGGCAAGGUCCUUCUUUAAUAUAACCACAGAAGAAUAUGUACAGUCUGCAAAUGACCAGGGUCUGUAGGUUCGUAAAAGUAUACUGCUGCCCCUUUCAUCAAUGAUUGAUGUCACACCACUAUAAAUCAAGGCCAAGUUCACUUAUUACACCAUUUUGUGCCAGUGUUCGCCAAACCCAUUGCACUUCUGGUAAACGGAAUACUAUGCAGGUUGCUUUGUACAGUGCUUCACAAAUAGCUCUGUUCUAUUGGGAAGGGAGGUUGUUUUGAAAAGUGAUCAGGUUAAGAAGACAGCACUGUUUUCCAUUUUUAUUUUAAAUCUACCUGAGAUGAAAGGGUUGACAUAAAAAAAAUGUUUUAUUAUAUUGUGUUAUAUCACACUUAGGGGUAAUCUUUCUUGUAGAGUUUUUCUUCAAGACCCGAGGGCAACAUAAAAAUAUCAAUGGAACAUUUCCUUCUAAUCAAAAACGAAUGUAAUUCGAGAGCUGGCAAGCAUUGACUAAAUAGUACGCGUGUCUCAAUCGAUGUACUAUUAGAAUGUUUUGUAAAUGUUUGUUUUAGAAAGUCUGCUGGUUUUACUAUGUCCAACUGUAAUGUCUCAUCUUGCUCAUGACACAAGUACACAUCUGAAACACCAUACCAACUAAUCAUUAAAUAAGAAUUUGUUCAAAUGACUUGCCUAGUUAAAGGUUAAAUGAAAAAAACUAAGAAAUUGUGUUCAACUGGAUUGUUAUUAAGGUACAGAUUUGCUUGGUUUAGUUUUAAGGUUGCUCUCAGGUCUAGUGGGUGGGGAGAGGGCUUGUUUGUAAUGGUCUGUUUCAAUGCAGCCCAUAUCCACUACACUCUAAUUGGGCACAACACCGACAGUACCCCCUGGCUAUUCAUUUAAUUUGUUUUCAAACAGCCCCCCCUCACACUGUCUACCCCUGUCGUGUAUUUCCCAAAUAGUACAUAUGUAUUUUAGACUUAUUUUAGUUUCUCCUGUCCCUGUAUUUGAUCCUGUUCUAACCAAACAUUUUGUUAUUCUGGUAUAAAGAUACAUAUAUCUUAUGUGAGAUCAUUGUGAAGUGGAGAAAUCUGAACUGUAUUAUCUAGCAGAGCUGGAUGUGGGAGAGAAAGUGGAAAACAAUUUUAAAUAAAAGGUAAAUGUUAA